rnacentral:lncRNA from 1 species
CUCCCAAGGAGGAAGGAUCUCUAGCUGGAGAUUCUUCCUCUUGGAGCCUUUCUGCAAGCCCAGGAUGCAGAAAUGGAAAAGGUUUCCUUCCUUAAGUGACAUGCAUCUACUGGGUACAAACAUACAUGGCUGUAUUUUAUGAGAUGUUUUUACCUCUGGAGCCUGAAGAACAAUGACACGGAAGGCUCCGGCAGCUGCCACUUUGGUUUUGCCUCCCUCUGACUUCAGUCCUCCUGGGCCCCUUUGAAGCCACAAGGAAAAGAGCAUGAGUAAGAAGAAACGGAGGGGAACGAUAAUAAAAGAAGAUGGUUUUUUACAGCAGCCUGCUAUAAACCAACAGUCCUGGCCCUGUUUGUGGUAGCACUUGUAUUUUUAGUCUUUAAGGAAGCACAGAAGAGUAAACAGCAUUAUUGGAAUAAAUGCCUGGUGGCAGCUAUUAGCCCGGAGAAUUAUUAUGCACGCAAAUCUGAAUAACCAAAUGUGUUGGCUCUGAAAG